UCUCCGUUGGUGAACCAGCGGAGGGAUCAUUACCGAGUUACAACUCCCAAACCCCUGUGAACAUACCAUUUGUUGCCUCGGCGGUGCCUGCUUCGGCAGCCCGCCAGAGGACCCAAACCCUUGAUUUUAUACAGUAUCUUCUGAGUAAAUGAUUAAAUAAAUCAAAACUUUCAACAACGGAUCUCUUGGUUCUG
rnacentral:misc_RNA from 1 species